UUACACAUUAUGUCCUCUGCAGGCAUUUCAGGCUAUUUGGCUAAAACCCUUCCGUGUAUAGGGAUGUAUGGGUUGGAUUUAACCCCAAAGUAAAUCUUUUAUAUCCAAAAAUUAAACACUGUGUAGGGCGGAAGAAGUUUUUGGAGAUUUCCAUACUCUAAUUUCUUGAAGGAGUUUCAUGCUUUAUUUUUUAGUCACUUCAAAAUGUAUCACAAGCUUAUGAAUUCUACCUUGGAUCGCCCAUUCUACCAUCUGGGACACGAAUGGGACUGGAGGGGCCCCAGUGUGACAUUUCUGGGUAUUUUCUAAGUUGUUUUUUGUUGUGCAUUUGGUGAGAUAUGGAGGAAGCAUAUGUAGGGGUAGUGACUCAUCUCCAGGGAAGGUUUCUGGGGAUGAGAUGCCUUCAGUUGUAGUUUCCCAGUGGUAACCUGCUGAUGCUUUCGCAAAGGAAACAGUCUUUGUUCUAUUUCAGACUUUCAGAUGAGCGACCUAAGAGCAGCUUUCUGAGUUCAAGUUCCUCUCUCACUUUGGCUUUGUAUCACUAUCACUGUACCCCCAACCCCCAACACCCCUGGGCCUUAUUCAUCAGUGUAUCACCUUAUUCAGGUAGCUGGUAAGUGACAUUCAGUUUAACACAACUCAGUAUUUUAGGCGUGUCCAAGUGAAAGGAUGGUAUUAAAUCAGGAAGCAUGUGCCAACAAAUAGAUGGCCACAUGUGUCUCAGUGGUGACAAAGGUAAAUAUUUAGGCAGCACAUGCUGUUGGUGACAGGAACUAACUUUGUGGGAGAUUAAGCAAGUGUGUGUACUUCAGGCUUUGAUAUAUAGGCAUCAUUCAGAAACAGCCUUAAUCUACUAAAUGGUAAAAGGUCCCACGCACCCUUGCUUUACAGAGUCCAUCCUUCUUGUUUGGCUUCAAAGCUCCAAAGACAGGAAUGCGUUUGAAAUGUAGAUUUCUUCCACAACAAAACGAGAAUGUGAGAAGCGUACACUUCUCCUCAGGUGGCAAUCUUAAGCAUUUAUUUUACACCCAUAGCAUGGGAAAUGAUGAAGUGUGAGAAAUUGUUUGUUUAGCUUAAAAUUUUUGUACUUACUUAUUUACAGGUAUUUGUGCAUGUGUACAUGUGCGUAUGAGAAUGCACAUGCAUGUGUAUUUAUGCAUGUGCACUUACUUGCAUACGUGUGCAUGUGUGUGUAUGUGUUUGUGCAGAGGACAACUUGCAGAAGUUGGUUUUAUUAAGUGGGUUCUAGGAAUUGAACUCAGCUGGUCAGUAUUGACAGAAAGGACCUGCUGAGUCUUCUCCGGGGCCCUAGUUUAACUGCAACCCACUACAAAGUUUGUGUUGGUAAAGUUUUGUCAACUUUACACAAGUUUGAGUCACCAGAGAAAGGGAGUCUGAAGACUUGCCUUCAUCAGGCUGACCUGUGAGCAGGUAUGGAAUAUUUUUCUUGAUUAAUAACUGGUGUGGGAGGAGUCAGCCCGCUGUGAGCAGUACCAUCCAUGGGCCAGGGCCAUGGAGUGAAUUAGAAAGCAGGCUGAGCAAGCCACAGGGAGAAAGACAGUAAGUUGUACUCCUCCAUGGCCUCUGCAUCAGCUCCUGCCUUGAAUCUUUGUCCUGAUUGUCCUCAUUAAUGGACUAUGACAAAAAAAAAGUGCAAUCCAAAUUAGACCCUUUUCUCUCCUUUUGAUCAGAAUGGUUUAUCGUAGUGGGAGAAAGCAAACCGGAGCAAUGUUCCUAGUCAGAAGUGUUAAUGCUACAUGGUUAAAGAAAAACCACCAGGAUGGAAGCAAACAUACACCCUAAUCCUAGUCUCAAAAAAUCUAUCUUCAAUGGCAGGCUGAGUCAUAUGAAAUGGCUAUUUUUGUAUGUUAAAAUUGUUCGAAAGCAGCAAUUCCACUAGGUUCAAAAUACCAACUGGCUCAAUGGACAAGAGAAAUUAUAUAUGAAAUAUAUAUAGGUGCAUAGAUACGUGUGUGUAUGUGUGUGUGCAUGGGGAUGGGGGACAAAGAGACAGAUAGACACAUACACACAGAGUGAGAGAGAGAGACAGAGACAGAGACAGAGAGAGAGAGAGAGACAGAGAGAGACUUAGCAAGCAUUCUGAAUGGUGACUAUAGGAAUUAGAUUUUAUCUUUUCCUCACUUCUAUCUCUAGAAUGGGUGCUUCCCACUUUCCACUCUGAAUGCUAUACAAAUUCAGCCUUUCACAGUGAGGAGCCACCGGCAGCUAAAGCACACUUACAUGAUGUUAGAAAAUUUGAGGACUUUGGGGCUCUGGUUUCCUUCGCUCUUUAGAAAUAUCCAGAUUUGGUGAGAAGAACCCAUUUCCUUUCCUUUCUGGCUAAAGUCCAUCCCCAUAGCUAAGUCUCAAUAGGGCCUUGCGCACAUGAGGAGCUUGUACAAGUAGGCAUCCAAACCUGUCUGUGAAUGGUUUCCAUAGUGAAUGCAUGGGGAGAGAUGACUAAUAAUUGCUUACUGACGUUCUGCGAUCCUGCAGAUCUCCCUUUAGUGAAACCGAUAGGCUUGUUCUCUGAAAGGCAGGUGGCUAGAUUAAGUAGCUGUGCAACUCGUGGAAUGAGGAGCAAGGUCAGGUUCACAGAAAAAGAGAAGCAGGGGACAGAAAGGAAUAAAAAGGGGAAUGAAAAAGAUGCUGGUUUGUUGAGAGGUGCCUUCCUGAGUCUCCUGAGUCAAAGAAAUAAAUCGAAAAGUUUAUUGUAUUUGAGUCCAAAGAUGGUCCAGAAUUUUCUAAUGCACCAUGUGUAAGGUAUAUAUAUAUAUAUUCAAAGAACAGGAAGCCAGCUGAUUGGUUCCAGUUUGGCAUUUGCCUCACGUGGCCAUGGAGGGAUCUUUUAGCCAUUAGUGAUUGGAUACGUCUCAAUUUGCAAUGAUUGGCAGGGGCUCAACUCUGCUGCAAGAGUAUACUCUUCAGUUAGGUUGCAAUUUGCUCGUGCACUUAAUUAGGUUACAGCUUACUACACACAGAGGUGGUUCUGGGUCAAAUUUUCAUACCCAAGUACCAAAACAGAGGCCGAACUUUUCAAGCUUGAUGGACAUUGCCAAAAGUCUUCCAGGUCCUUUCCUGCACAGGCUGCUGAUAAGCAUCUUGGCAUUCAGGAUAGGUGGCGGUUCUCCACCUGGUCCCAGAAUGCAGUUUUGUAGCCUUAACAGACUUAAAUAUAUGACUGCUCCUGUACACUUAAACAGGAACAUCCAAGAAUCAAAACCACCUUGCUUUCCAGCCUGGUAGUGAUGUUUAAAAUGCACCGUUUCUCUCUCAAUGCCUAUUUCCCUCCACAGUAGGAGGAGAGAGAACCUUAGCCAUGGAAAGACCUCAGUCCUCUUUGGGGCAAAUGGCUUUUAAACCGCUCCCAAGGGGAGCCAUUGAUCAUCCCGCCUGACAGGAUCUGGCCUAUUAUUUCCGUGCUUUAAGCGACGCAGGCUGGCUCCCAUGGUUCUCAGCCUCUAAGUAGAGCUGGUGAAAUUAACUUGAAUGACCUAAUUCCCACCUUCCAGUCCACCCCUUCAUAUGCACUGUGCAAAGGGCAAAACAGAAGCGAAAUGGGAAAGAUUAACAAGGACCGUGCCAGCCCUUCUAGGAGAAGCCAUUGUUUCACUGCAUCUGGGGAGAAAACUACACUAUUUGGCAGUGUGGGGGGCCCCCAGGCACCGGCUGGUGCUAAUGAGCAAUGUGGUUGCUGAGCGGAGCUGUUGCCCUGGACCCGCCCUGUCUACCCUGGUUGACAGGUGCUGAGGGGAGGGGCAGGCCACAGCUGCUGGGGCAGGAAUCCCAUUAUCCUUUGCUGUGCAUUGAUUCACCCUGUGGGGACAUUUCCUCUCUGGCUGUGCUAAUUUGCCUGGCUCUGGGAGCACACAGUGUCUGAGGUGAGCAGGGCUGGGCUCAGCCUUGGGUCUGCAGAGGUUUUGUCUGACAGGACACAGGCAGCCAGAAAAGGACAAGGUCUGAAGUGUAAUGAUACAAUUAUUUGAGGUACAUAGCAAAUUAAUGCACACAAUCUAUGUUUUGAAAGAGUAGGGUUUUUUUUAUUUUUAAUUUUUCUUGAUGUGUUUUGCAUUCAUAGAUGGUAAUUCUUAUUUUAAAACUCGAUGUUUUUGCACAGAAGAUUCAGGAAGGAAUCCAACAGUUGGAAUCUUGGCUCUCCACAUCCAUCUUUAAAUGUUCACUUUCCUCUGAGCUUGCCACCAGGCCUUCUGGGACACUUUGGGAGUUAAUAUAUUAAGCCUCUUGCCUGGGAUGGUAUACAAUGGUUUUCUAGUUUGUGUUGAAAGGCAAUAAUGGGGGUUGAAUUUAUUAUAGUUAAGAUUAUUGACCAUCAUUUGCCUAGGUGUCUGAUGCUAGAGGCAAGUCAGGCUCAUCACCUUUGUGUGAAUCAAACUCUGGACCUCAUGACAAAGCAAGCAUCUUAAAUGCAGAGUGAGCUAUCUCCCUAGCCUCCUUUUGAGUAAAUUUCAAGCCAUGUUUAAAUAUAUAUCUGACCAAUCAGUUCAGUUCUCCAAUUGCUGUGAUUUUUUUUUCUAGCUUACAUGUGUUUGCUUGUGAUAGGGGGAUUUAACAGAGAUUUACUUCAGAAAGGAUACUAUUCAUAGAUUGCUUUUGUUUUCUAGCUGCAGUCUGCUGUUUCUGUGUGAGCGUGAUUCCCCUCAGCAUUGUGUAACCUCCUUCCUGAAGAAAGGUGAGGAGAGGCAGCUCUGAGACUUGAGAUAGUGUUGAGCUGACACACUCAGAGCUCUCUGGAGACAAGGUACUUACCUGUCUGCACCGUUUAUUAAAGGAUUAAAUCAGGAAUGGUAGAAGACAAGCUAGAAGCAGGAUGAGGAAGUAAGAAUGUAUGUGUGUGUGUUUCUACAUGCACCCAUGCACGCAUCUUUGUGUGUGUAUUCUUAUGUGCACAUGUGCAUGCACGUUUGUGUGUGCAUGUGUGUUCCUAUGUGCACACACGCAUGCAUGUUUGUGUAUGUGUUCCUAUGGGCAAACAUGCAUGCACAUUUGUGUAUGUGUGUGUAUGAUGGAAAGAGAAAAAGAUAGAGAGAAAGGGAGAGAGAAGGGGAGAAAGAAGCAGAGACAGAGAUAGACAGAGACAGAAAGAGAAUGCAUAUAUUUGUGCAUGUCUAUGGAAGCCAAUGUUAGAUAUCUCCAUUUCUCUCUACAUUAUAAUAAUAAUAAUUAUUAUUAUAAUUUUAUUAUUAUCAUUGGGUUUUUUUUUUUGUUUUUUUGAGACAGGGUUAUUCUGAGAUAGGAUCUCUCAUUAAAAUUAGAGCUCACUGUACUUCCUAGACUGGUUGACCAGCAAGCCCCAGGAUUCUCCUGUAUCUGCCUCUUCAAUGCUGGGAUUAGGGAUCACUGUGCCUGGGGAUUUUACAUGGUGCAACAAAUCCAGACAUAGAUUCUCAUGCUUGAAUGUCAAGUACUUCACGGACUGAGUCAUAUGCAAGCCUCCUGUUUUAUUUUUAUUUCUUUAUUUUGAGACAACAUCUCAUGUAUCCCAGGCUGGCCUUGAAAUCACUAUAUAGCCAAGAGGAUGGCUUUGAACUCUGCUGGACCUCCUGCCUCUGCCUUUCUAGUACUGGGGUUAGAUGGAUGUGCUACCAUAUCCAGUAUCUCUAGUGCUUGAUCGAACUCAGGGCUUUGUGUAUGCCUGGCAAGAGUUUAAACUUAUAUUUAAAUUCUUUUUUGACAUUUUAAGGAAAGAUGAAAUCUACAGAUUGAAAGAUUAUUCUAGGUCCCAGAGCAUAACUACUCUAACAAAAGUUACUGGAGACAAUUCUAUGACAGUUGUCUGGGGUGGCACGUGUGCAUGUGGUGGGGCUGGGGGGUGUUGGGGAGAAAAAAAAACAGGGCAUCCCCAGACCUUUGCACAGCUCUCAUUGGAAGACAAUGCUAGAAGUUCUUAGAGCAAGAAUUGCAACCCAAAAUAUUUACAAGCAGUCUAACUUCUAGCCAAGUGCAGAGAGAGCAGAUCCAAGAACGAAGAGAACACACUCAGCCCUGGUCCUUCCAGAAAUACAAAGAGAAAACAAAACCAAGAAGCCAGGCAAACAAACACAAAACAAAGAAACAGAACCAGCUCUGGAGAGAACCAACAUUGGGCAAAGAGGAACCUGAGGAUGCUUCCAUCAAGGGGAAGGGAGAGAAAAGACAAGGAAGGAAGGAAGGAAGGAAGGAAGGAAGGAGAGCAGAGAAUAAAGGGGAGGAUUGGUGAUAUUUAAUUCCCUAGAGGAGAUGUGGUGAUCAGAAAGUAUUAUGUAAAUGCCAUAAAGCAUGUAAGAAAAGUAAGAAACACACACACACACACACACACACACACACACACACACACACACACACACACACACUCCUCAGAACUUAAAUGCCGUGAGAUGGGCAUAAUUAAGAAACACAUCCAAAGCAAGAGAAUCUGAAAGGGUAGCUGUAACAGACAGGGUGGUGAUGGGAUACAAAUAAAAAUAAGGAGCUGUUAAGCUCAUAUUCUACAAGUUCUUGCAAAAUAUGAAAGUACUGCCACUAGAGAGAUGGCUCAGCAGAUAAAAGCUCUGACUGUCCAAGCUUGAUGACCUAGGUUCAAUCCCUAUGUAAAAAUUUUAUCUGUGACCCCAGCAGUUCUAUGACAAGGGAGGUGGAGACAGGAGAACUGACUAGAAUCUCAUGGACCAGUUAGCCUAGAGCAUAUAGCACAGAGGCACAAAUGUGAUGCACUUUAACUCAGCAAGAUGGAAAGUGAGAAAUAACUCCUCAAAAUUGUGCUUUGACUUCCAUACACACAUGCUGCAGCAUAUAAGUGCCCUGCCUCCCCACAUUAAUUUAAAAACUACUAAAUGGAUAUGAUCACCACACCAUGGUAAAAUCUACCAUGCAGGUUAACAUGCCAACAUUAGCUAAAUAAAAAGAAACCUACCCUUCCUCCUGCCCAUCCACCCAUCCACCAUCCAUCCAUCCAUCCAUCCACCCAUCCAUCCAUCCACCCAUCCAUCCAUCCAUCCAUCCAUCCACCCAUCCACCAUCCAUCCAUCCAUCCAUCCAUCCAUCCAUCCAUCCAUCCACCCAUCCAUCCACCCAUCCACCCAUCCAUCCACCCAUCUACCCAUCUACCCAUCCAUUCCUCCAGCCACCCAUUCAUCCAUCCAUCCCUUCUUUCCUUCUUGGCACCAAAGGCUCUUACUAUGUACUUCAAGUAGAGCUUAAACUGAUGCUAUUUAUGCCUCAGCCUGAAUGCUAGGAUGACAAUUAUAUGGUACCACGUCCAUCUACAGGUAUAUUUUAAUUGAGUUUCUCAGCUUGCACUGUAGCAAGUAAUUGAAAUCAACCUAAUUGCCCACCAAAAGAUCAACCAACAAUACAAAUUUGGUAUAUAUGUGAAUAUGAAUACUAUUUUGCAUUAAAGGGAAAUGGAAUAAAUUUUUAGGAAAAUAAAUGGAGUUAAAAUAUAUAUUGUUAAGUAAUGUCAUACAGUCUCUGAAAAAAAUGCUCUUCCUCAUAUGUAGAAUGUAGCCAAUAAUAUAUGUAUAUAUGCAAACAUAUGUACAUAUAGGUACAGUGUAACAUGGAAAAGAGAAUAAGAAUAGCUAAAUGUUGGGGGAUGAAGAAUGAUUGCAGGCAAUGGGCAUGAGUUAAUAAAAGAGGAUAAAAAGAUAAUUGCUUUUCUAGAUCUAAU
rnacentral:lncRNA from 1 species